rnacentral:rRNA from 1 species
GUGUCAGCCGCCGCGGUAAUACGGAGGAUCCGAGCGUUAUCCGGAAUCAUUGGGUUUAAAGGGUCCGUAGGCGGUUUUGUAAGUCAGUGGUGAAAUCCGGCAGCUUAACUGUCGCACUGCCAUUGAUACUGCAGGACUUGAAUUACUGUGAAGUAGCUAGAAUAUGUAGUGUAGCGGUGAAAUGCUUAGAUAUUACAUGGAAUACCGAUUGCGAAGGCAGGUUACUAACAUUAUAUUGACGCUGAUGGACGAAAGCGUGGGGAGCGAACAGGAUUAGAAACCCCCGUAGUCC